UCAUAGCCUUGAUGCUUCUUCACAGGUGAUGCAGUUACAACAAUAAGAAUGGCGGGGUUUCUAUAUUGUACCCUAGGAAUGGACUAGUCUGUGGCAUUGCUUUGCUAAUAUGCUGGUUAAAUGGAAAUCAAAUUGUGCUGCCAGUUUUGUUUGGCCUAUGCUCAGCAUAAUAUCCCAAGUUUUUGUUCAUAUGUUGUUUUUAGCUUACUAUGGUGGUUUGGCAUAACAUGUUAUGUUGGUUUGGCUUACAAUGAAAUGUUAUGGGAGUCUAAACUUGUUUGGUUUGGCAUAAUAUGUUCUUGCUGUAAUUUUUCUAUGUACUAUUUGAAUAGCUCAAAGUGUA